ACCAGAUAUUAAAAGAUCAUCUUGUUAUAACCUUUUGUACUGAUUUUCCGCUGCAAAGCUAUAAAAUAGGCAAUAGUGAUAACACAGUUCUAUAUAAGGAAACAUCAGUUUGUUUAUCAAUCUCUAUGUAAUCAUCAGUGCAUACAUCAAUAUUGCAAAUUUAUUUCCAAUGAAUAAAAUUUAAAAACAUUAUAAAUAAAAAGAUAGUAUGCCUAAUCUAGGUGUAGCUGCAAUCAUCGUCUGCAGUUUACUUAAAGUCAGUUCAGCGGGUGACAUACUUGUGCAAACAAAUGAAGAUCAAUGCACAGCCUUCACCUCGUGCACAUCAUGUAUUACCCAAGGAGUAUGUACUUGGUGCAUUACAAAGAGUCUUUGCACUCGACAGCAGUGCGGCAAUGACAACAUUAUAUAUCCGAAGAAUUCACAGGCUCUGUUAACUGGAGCAGAAUUCUGCCCACGGAUAGUUGAAUCGCCUGAACGCAUCUUCAAACAUAGCCAAGUACAUAUAUUUGUUGUGAAAUUAACACAAAUCUAUGUUUACAUGGCUUUCACGCCUUGGCAGUGUAAGAUUCGUGUUGGUGAUCAAGAUUUUGAGAUAAAAGGGAUAUUGUUAGGUGAUUCCGUUUACUGUGAUGCAUUUGAAAUGAAAAACGAAUCCGACAAAGCUUAUGUAGAAGGUAAUGUGAAAGUUUUAUGGAACUUUAAGAAGGCUUUCGAUGGAUCUAUUUCAUUUAAAAUAUGCCGAUGUGAUUUAGAACCAAAUUGUUUAGCUUGCACCAAAAAUAAAUCAAAAUAAUAUUUAACUAUAUACUUAUUAAAUGUUCAAACAAAAGCAUGUUUUGAGAUCUAAGACUUUAACGAGUAUUCAUUCAAAUUAAACUAAUAUUUUCGGUUACUUUAUACUAACUAAUAUUUCGGAUACAGACGAUAUCUCGUCUGUCCGUGAUCACGGCUGCUGCAAAGUAACCGAAACGUCGAGAGAAUGUAGUUUUUAAAAAUAAUAAAAUAUGCGUAGUCAUCCGUACUAUCAAUAAAAUACUAUUCGGCUAAUCUUACUGUAUCUAGAAUGCGUCAUAAUUUAUUAAAUAAUUGAUAUGAUGAGACAAAAUGACAAUCAUGUAUUAUUUGUUGAUUUAUUACUUUAAUUUACUGCAGUAUAUUUCAUUGAAAUGAGUAUCUAAAUAUUGAAAUAUAAAAACAAGUUGUUUUUUCAAUGAUUAUUCUUUUCGUAAUUAAAAUAAUUUGAUGUAAAUACGUACAAGUUUUAUUUUUAAUCCAAAUGUUUAUACAUAAAAUAUCACUGAAUAUUAAGUAUAAGAAACGUGUUAAUAUAUAAAAUGUGCCUGUAUAUGCAUUUGGGUUUUAUGUUGCAUAUGUUUUUAAACCAUGUUUACAUAUUACGAAAUGUCAUUCAAGUUAUGUGAUUUGAAAAUGGAUUUAAUAUUAUUGUUUACUUGAUUCUUGGCAUACAGUUUUAGAUGCAAUUAGAAAUAUAUAAAAAGUAAACUGAAAAUAUUUUAAUACAAGCCUUUAUUAACAACACGCUAAAGAGUAAAUUAAUUACAACAUUUCUAUUACUUAACAAUUUAUGACUUAAUUUACGUUUUUAAAUAUAUAUUUUAAAAACUGGCCUAAGCAUAAUAUUAACAUAAUAAAAAAGUGAAUAAUAAAUGACAAUUAUCUUAAUCUCAUUCAUUUCAUGAAAAUGUAUUAUCUACCUAUUGUGUAUUCAAAGCUUUUUUCUUUUUUUUUUUGUAAAUAAUAUCCACAUGCGUCGGUUUAAAAAAAAAUGAAAACACUAGUUUUUUGAGCAAAGGUAUAUCAAGUAAGGUUUUAUGAACAAAAAUAUUACCCAACAGGCUGUUGCCUGACAAGCUUCCAUAACAUGAGACUACAAGUUUCAUGAAUUAAUACGAACAAGCGACACGAGGCUCGUUCAUGUUUCUUUUAUAAUCGCAUUACAGAGUGAUUGAACUUUAAACUGCUAUGGAAGUUCCAUCCCUAGGGCGGAAUUGAAAAAUUAGAAGCAUAUAUUCAGGGUAACCACAUUGUGGUGCAAUUUUACAUAUUUUAUGAUAUACAAUAAUGUUAUGACUAUACAAUUGUUGCAAUUUGAAAAUGGAACGUGUUGGUUUUAACCAAUGUGGAUUUGAUAUUCAUUUUAUCCUGUUAUAUUUUCGAUUCCUUUUUCAAACUACAAAUAUAUUAUCCCGAAAUUGUUCGAGUCUUGCUCUGUUCAGGUUAUAAUAGUCUAGUAAUAACAUUUAUGAGAAAAAUGUUUUUAAUUAGUGUUUCAAAUCAUGAAUCCUAUUAUUUUUAGAGGACACGAUAAGGUGUAUGUUAAAAUGUUAAGAUUUUUUUAUCUAUUUUACAUCAAAAUACUACAUAAGAAUUUAUUCUUGAUGUUUAAUAUUGCAUCAAAUACAAUGGUAUUGCUAUUGAUACAUUCAGUUAGCCAUCAAGAAUUUUAUGUAAAUAAAACAUGGGUUUCCAACGAAGAAAUAUAUUUGAUGUAAAAAUUUUUUUUUAAUAUAUAAAGCGGGAUAACUUUUUCUACUUGCUUUAUUUUCUUUAUAAGAUAUAUGGUUUCCAUUUAUUCAAUCAUAAUUUUAAUAAACAUGUACUCUGCUAA